rnacentral:rRNA from 1 species
AUACGGAGGAUCCUAGUGUUAUCCGGAUUUAUUGGGUUUAAAGGGUGCGUAGGCGGUUUGCCAAGCGGGAGGUGAAAUGCCGGCGCUCAACGUCGGAAGUGCCUCCCGAACUGGUGGACUUGAAUGACUCUGCCGUGGGAGGAAUGGGUAGUGUAGCGGUGAAAUGCUUAGAGAUUACACAGAACACCGAUUGCGAAGGCAUCUCACGAAGGGUUGAUUGACGCUGAGGCACGAAAGCGUGGGGAUCAAACAGGAUUAGAUACCCUGGUAGUCCACGCAGUAAACGAUGAUGGCUAACCGCUGGUUUAUUCGGAUCAGUGGCCAAGCGAAAGCGAUAAGCCAUCCACCUGGGGAGUACGACCGCAAGGUUGAAACUCAAAGGAAUUGACGGGG